rnacentral:rRNA from 1 species
UGGGGAAUAUUGGACAAUGGGCGAAAGCCUGAUCCAGCCAUGCCGCGUGAAUGAUGAAGGCCUUAGGGUUGUAAAGUUCUUUCGCCGCCGAGGAUAAUGACGGUAAGCGGAUAAGAAGCCCCGGCUAACUUCGUGCCAGCAGCCGCGGUAAUACGAAGGGGGCUAGCGUUGUUCGGAAUCACUGGGCGUAAAGCGCGCGUAGGCGGCUUAUCAAGUCAGAGGUGAAAGCCCAAAGCUCAACUUUGGAACUGCCUUUGAAACUGUUAAGCUGGAGUGUUGGAGGGGAUAGCGGAAUUCCUAGUGUAGAGGUGAAAUUCGUAGAUACUAGGAGGAACACCGGUGGCGAAGGCGGCUAUCUGGACAACUACUGACGCUGAGGCGCGAAAGCGUGGGGAUCAAA